GCUUCGGUUGGAAGAGACCUCAAAAGUCAUCUAGUUCCAGCUCCCUUGUCCUGAGCAUGCUGUGGGGAGCUCUUAUAAACAGUAAGAGUGUUUGAUCUAAGAGCUAAAAGUACUGGGAACAUGAACUGGCUUGUAUGGAUUGUAACCCACUUCAGCUCAGUAGAAUUUUGUGUGGAGUGGUAAUGCCUGUAUUUCAUGAGCUGUACCUGUACUCUAUGCAUAUGUUUGGGCAGAAGGUCCGGGUCAGGGCAGAGGCUGAUUUCGCUCCUGCCCUCAUCAAGCAGCCUCCUGCCAUAAGGGAAUACGCGGCAGAUGGCACUGUUGCUUUAGCAGUCUGCACCAGCUCCUUUUUCCCCGUAGGAUACUGCAGAUUGUGUCAGGCUGUAAACCCUGGAAGAAGAAAGGGAUACAAGUGCUCUCUAUCCACUUCCAUGCUCUGA
rnacentral:lncRNA from 1 species